rnacentral:rRNA from 1 species
UACGGAGGAUCCAAGCGUUAUCCGGAAUCAUUGGGUUUAAAGGGUCCGUAGGCGGACCAUUAAGUCAGGGGUGAAAGUCUGCAGCUCAACUGUAGAAUUGCCUUUGAUACUGGCGGCCUUGAAUUACUGUGAAGUGGUUAGAAUAUGUGGUGUAGCGGUGAAAUGCAUAGAUAUCACAUAGAAUACCGAUUGCGAAGGCAGAUCACUAACAGUACAUUGACACUGAUGGACGAAAGCGUGGGGAGCGAACAGG